UGGAGCUAGGUUUCUCUUAUUUCCAUUGAUGGCUUUGUCUCUGUGAUUUAAGCGAGAGGGAGAGGAAGUGAAGAUUCAAAAAUCCAUGUCUCAGUUAAUAAUGUCUUCCAUACUAAAAGCUUUUUCAUCAGCUGUUACAGAAAUUCAAUUAGUUUUAGGGCGUCUGGAAGUGGGUUUCCUUUAUUCUUACUAGAAAAGUUGAGAAAAUCAAAGACCGGUAUGCUAGAAAACUUGUUCAACGGAUUCAGAGACUAUCGUUGCAGGCUUUUACUUGGUAUUUGCUGGUAGAUAAUGAAGCGGACAAGCUACUUAUCAGGAUUGGAUUCAUGUCGUGCUUCAAUUCACUCGUUCAGAUAAUGGCGUGUGCCUGUUCUCCAGUACUAUAGAUUCUUAAUAUUUUUUUGGUUCAUUGAAAAGGAAGUCGUAAGUUACAUGUGAUCCCACUUUGAUACGUUGUUUGUGAGAAGUCAAUUUUUUCUUAAA